rnacentral:rRNA from 1 species
ACGAACGCUGGCGGCGUGCUUAACACAUGCAAGUCGAGCGGUAAGGCCUUUCGGGGUACACGAGCGGCGAACGGGUGAGUAACACGUGGGUGAUCUGCCCUGCACUCUGGGAUAAGCCUGGGAAACUGGGUCUAAUACCGGAUAUGACUCCAGCAUGCAUGUGCUGGGGUGGAAAGCUUUUGUGGUGCAGGAUGGGCCCGCGGCCUAUCAGCUUGUUGGUGGGGUAAUGGCCUACCAAGGCGACGACGGGUAGCCG